GAUGAACGCUGGCGGCGUGCCUAAUACAUGCAAGUCGAGCGAACAGACGAGGAGCUUGCUCCUCUGACGUUAACGGCGGACGGGUGAGUAACACGUGGAUAACCUACCUAUAAGACUGGGAUAACUUCGGGAAACCGGAGCUAAUACCGGAUAAUAUAUUGAACCGCAUGGUUCAAUAGUGAAAGACGGUUUUGCUGUCACUUAUAGAUGGAUCCGCGCCGCAUUAGCUAGUUGGUAAGGUAACGGCUUACCAAGGCAACGAUGCGUAGCCGACCUGAGAGGGUGAUCGGCCACACUGGAACUGAGACACGGUCCAGACUCCUACGGGAGGCAGCAGUAGGGAAUCUUCCGCAAUGGGCGAAAGCCUGACGGAGCAACGCCGCGUGAGUGAUGAAGGUCUUCGGAUCGUAAAACUCUGUUAUUAGGGAAGAACAAAUGUGUAAGUAACUAUGCACGUCUUGACGGUACCUAAUCAGAAAGCCACAGCUAACUACGUG
rnacentral:rRNA from 1 species